UACGUAGGUGGCAAGCGUUGUCCGGAUUUAUUGGGUUUAAAGGGUGCGUAGGCGGUCCUGUAAGUCAGUUGUGAAAUACGGUAGCUUAACUGUCGAGGUGCAAUUGAUACUGCGGGACUAGAGUACUGAUGAGGUAAGCGGAAUGGACGGUGUAGCGGUGAAAUGCUUAGAUAUCGUCCAGAACACCGAUAGCGAAGGCAGCUUACUAAGGAGUAACUGACGCUGAGGCACGAAAGUGUGGGGAUCAAACAGG
rnacentral:rRNA from 1 species